AACGAACGUUAGCGGCGCGCCUGACACAUGCAAGUCGAGCGAGAAAGGGCUUCGGCCCCGGUAAAGCGGCGCACGGGUGAGUAACACGUGGAUAACCUACCCCUUGGUGGUGGAUAACCUUCCGAAAGGAGGGCUAAUACAGCGUAAGACCACGACUUCGAAAGAGGUUGGGGUAAAAGUGGGCCUCUGUACACAAGCUCACGCCAGGGGAUGGGUCCGCGGCCCAUCAGCUAGUUGGUAGGGUAACGGCCUACCAAGGCGAAGACGGGUAGCUGGUCUGAGAGGAUGAUCAGCCACACUGGAACUGAGACACGGUCCAGACUCCUACGGGAGGCAGCAGUGGGGAAUCUUGCGCAAUGGACGAAAGCCUGACGCAGCCAUGCCGCGUGAAUGAUGAAGGUCUUAGGAUUGUAAAAUUCUUUCACCGGGGACGAUAAUGACGGUACCUUUUUAGCAAGCACCGGCUAACUCUGUGCCAGCAGCCGCGGUAAU
rnacentral:rRNA from 1 species